GUGGGGAAUAUUGCACAAUGGGCGGAAGCCUGAUGCAGCAACGCCGCGUGCGGGAUGACGGCCUUCGGGUUGUAAACCGCUUUCAGCAGGGACGAAGCGUGAGUGACGGUACCUGCAGAAGAAGCACCGGCUAACUACGUGCCAGCAGCCGCGGUGAUACGUAGGGUGCGAGCGUUGUCCGGAUUUAUUGGGCGUAAAGAGCUUGUAGGCGGUUGGUUGCGUCGAAAGUGCAAACUCAGGGCUUAACUCUGAGCCUGCUUUCGAUACGGGCUGACUGGAGGAAGGUAGGGGAGAAUGGAAUUCCCGGUGGAGCGGUGGAAUGCGCGGAUAUCGGGAGGAACACCAGUGGCGAAGGCGGUUCUCUGGACCUUUCCUGACGCUGAGAAGCGAAAGCGUGGGGAGCAAACAGGCUUAGAUACCCUAGUAGUCC
rnacentral:rRNA from 1 species